UUAAGAAUUGACAAAUCUAACGGUAGUUAAUAUCAAAAAUAUUCAUUCAUUUAUUAAGCGUCAAGUUUGGGAGGCAAAAAUUCUGCGUGAAAUAUGAUGUUAUCUGAUAGUAUAAAUAUGUCUUUGGACGAAUACAUUUUGAAAAAUAAUAUUCAAGCGUUUUCAGGAUCUCAAUAUGAUCGAAAAAAUUCAACUAAAGUAAAAGGUGAUGAUUACAUAUAUAUUAUUGAAUCGGACGACGAAAUGGAUGAGGAUAAUGAAGAGAGAUUUAAUCGCAUUAAUAUACAAGAGUCGUCUAAUAAUAAAAGUGAUACACAGCUCCCCGAGCACAUUGACAUGACCGUUCAAAUAAAAAAUUCAAGUAAUUUUGCAAAGACAUCAUCUUUAAACUGGCGUUUAAUGCAAGCAGGGAGUAAUGACAAUGCAGUAACUAAUGCAUUACAAUUUCCAACAAAUACUGUAAAAAAUGGUAAAGGAAAAAAACGUAAAAAUAAAGUACAACAAAAUGGUAUAAAAAAGAAAAAUUUCCGUAGUCGCGGAAUAAAACAAAGGUUGGGUUAUAACAUGAAUCAAAACGAGUUUCAGAAUUUUCAAAAUGAAGGAAACUUUAACAAUUAUAAUUUACAAUUAAAUCGUCAAAUAAAUCAACAAGGAUAUCCGUGGAAUCAGAAUCAUAUAUGUCAACACAACAAUUGUUGCGGUACUAAUCAACAUAUAAAUAUGAAUCAAUUUGUUGACUGGUUUGGUUCCAACAAUUACACAAGAAAUAAUAAUGAUCUCACCAUUUGUUUAAAUAAAAAUAUGAAUGAAUAUCUUACCAAUGGUAUGGUUAAUGGUUUUACUAGGCAUGUCAAUAUGACAAAUCAAUGUUUUCCAUUUGAGAAUAGACCAAUGUAUAACAAUAAUUUUAUGCAAGAUAGAAAUUCUGAUAUGAAUAAUUUGUUUCCGACCAUAGCUGCGCUUUCAGAAAUCGUUUUAAAUAAAUCAAUGCAAACUCAACACAAACAUAAGGUCGUUUAUGAUAUGGACAUACAAAGGAAACUUCAUUUGCUACAGGAGAAGCCAAUAUCAAAUUUGAAUUUUGAAAGAAAUACGGUUUAUACUGUUAAUGGCAACGGUGUAGAUUGUGUUAUUUUGCCGGAUUCAACUAAAAAAUCAUUAAAUAUUAGAUUUCGUGGUUUGAACGAAUGAAAUUAUAUGAUUCGAGGUGCGGCUGGUUCCUGGAGCCUAUCAUCGCUAACUUUUCCUUUUCCUUGUUGAGUAACAACAACUGUGAGAUUUUUUGUAAAUUGGACUUUGGAUGCUUAUUGAAUAACCUAAAGUAGUCAAAUAUGUUGAAAUUAUUCAAAAAUCAACAAAUCACAUUAUGACAAAAAAGUCCUAGUUACACCAGUGAUAAUAGAUCACUUCCACCAGCUAUUCAUAGUAAAACUUGAGUAAAAUACAAAUACAAAUAAAGUGCCCACAGAUUUUCAUGGAACAGCUGGUUCAUG